GGUCAACAAGAACAUUACAAAUGAAGAAGAAGAUGAAGAGAAAAUGAAACAAAGUUUGAACUCUUUGAAGAUGGCAGCAAGUAUUUUUGAGACAGCAAAGGCAUGGGAAGGCUUUGUGCAAGGAGGCAAAGAUCUUAGUGCUCCAAUACUGGGUGCUUUGCAUCUUCAGUCAGUUGCCGAAGGGCAGGUAAAUAUAUGCUCAUUGG